GGAAGCUGCAGCUGGGGCAGCUCUGCCCCAGCACGCAGGUUUCUGGCUCCAGUUUCCAGCUGCCUUGCACCCACUCUGCCCGCCCGACAUGAUGAGCAGCCAUCUGAGGGUGGCAGAGUGACUGGAAGAUGGCCAGGAGCAGGACCCAGAGCCCUUUGUGGUAGGGCAGAUGCCAUCUGCCUGAAGCUUCCUCCCCACCCGGAUGGGCACAGCACGGGUAGGAGCAGGAGGAGGAGCCCCCACUGGAAGCAAGGGAAGCCCAUCAGGACCCAGGCAGCUGCAGCCACACCAGGAGUGGGGUGCGCUGGAAGCUGUUCUUGCUGGUUGGGGCAGGGGCUGGUGGGCACAGACAGGAGCACAGCACUGGCCUUGGCUCCAUGUGGAGUGCUGUGGGAGAAGCUGCAAUAAUUUGGCGGGCUGGAUCUGGCCCAUGGGCCAUAUUUUGCCCAACCCUUCAGUAUGUGCAUCACAGGCUUGAGAAGUAUUUUUGAUCUUUGAAAAAUUACAGACACGUACAUGCCAGAGAUGGAAAAGCUUCAGCAGCUCAGCCAGUCACUAGCCCUGGAGGUUACAUAGUGCUUCUCUAUAGGCUUGUUUCCAAAUGCCUCCCUGAGAUCCCCAGGGUGUGACACGGUUGCCUCACAUUGUCUCUCUUUGCCUCCUAGGAGAUCAGAAAGACCCUGAGCAGGUGUGACAAGGGGGAGAUCCCACAGCCGAUGCCAAUUUCUCCUGAGCUGGAAAGGAGACUCAGGGAUUUCUGCCAGACAACCUGUGCGCUGACAGAGACUGUGAGGGUGCUCAAAGACACUCUGCCGUUUGCCGUUGAGAAGAGAAGUGGGGAUCCACCACGGCCAUACAGCAAGGGUAAGCUCUCGUGGGGACUGUCCUGAGUUGCAACAAAUUUCCAGAAGCCUGCACAAGCCACGGACGCUUUUUCUCUCUACUCAGGCCUGGGCCCUGAGACUAACUUGUAGCUGCUUGAUUCAGUGGUGGGAGGGGACAAUUGUCCCUCAGGGCUGCUGUGUCCGUCCUCUUGCUCCUGGCAGAGACCCCUGGUUCUUCUCCAACCUCUGUGCUCUCCUUUUGGCGGGGCCAGGCUCUCCCUGGGCAGCUGCUCCCUGAUGUGGAGAUGGCAGGUGGCUCCGGCCUCCUCUUCCUCCUCCUUUACUGCAGGAGCAGCUUCACUUCACUGCUGCCUCUUCACCUCCAUUCCUAGCCUGGGAGUGCAGGGCAGGUCAGAGGAGGGGCUGCCUCCUCUUGCCCCCCCUCACUCACAGCUUUGGGGCCCUUCCUGCCUGUGUCCCGGCUGCUGGGAUUGGGGCAGCCCCCGGGGGGGCCAAGGAGCAGGGGCAGGAGUUGCUGCGGCAGAGAAUGAAAGAAGUGGGAUUUGGGAAUGGGGAGAAGCUGGAAGCUCCCAUUGGCUAUGAGCGAUUAAUACAGCCCUGUACAAUAGGGUCUCAGCUGGAUCUCCCUUCCAACAGGCCCUGCAGCAGGCCCCCUUCCUCUAUCCAUGUGGAAGAGUUAGCACCAUUCUCUGGUCAUCAUGCCUAGGAGUAGGAGCGGGGUUCAGCCACUGAAGGCCUGAGCGGUAAUGCAAGGUUCAUCUUUAAUGUGGUUUGUGAAGGUCCCUGUCCCAGGUGCUAUGACAUUUAGGAGCUGAUGAUGGUGGCAAGGUAGGGACAGCCCAGGUGUCAGCAGAGCAACAAGCAGAAGAAAGACAAAAUAUAAAAACAUAAAUUCACUAACUGGAAAACCCUGUGGAAAGGAGGAGAAGGGAUGUGGGGCCUGAUCUACCAUGGAGCAGAGGAUUGUAGGGGACAGAGGAAGGGACAAAAGUGAUGGACAAAACAUCAAAUCUUUGGAUGAAGCAGGAGACCCAGACAUUGAAAGGCUGCAGGUUCUUUCUACAGUCCAGAGGUUAGUGGGUUGCUUGCUGACUGAAACAGGGAAGGCACCUGGAAGCUGCUCCAAGUUAGAAGGCAGCAGUGCGGUGUUUGGGUUUGAUUUCUGUUUGCCUGUCUCCAGGUGGAACCUUUGUCCUGUGUUUUUCUGCUGUACACAAUAAACCUAUUCUGAUCUUCGA